GAUGAACGCUGGCGGCGUGCCUAAUACAUGCAAGUCGAGCGAACAGACGAGGAGCUUGCUCCUCUGACGUUAGCGGCGGACGGGUGAGUAACACGUGGAUAACCUACCUAUAAGACUGGGAUAACUUCGGGAAACCGGAGCUAAUACCGGAUAAUAUAUUGAACCGCAUGGUUCAAUAGUGAAAGACGGUUUUGCUGUCACUUAUAGAUGGAUCCGCGCCGCAUUAGCUAGUUGGUAAGGUAACGGCUUACCAAGGCAACGAUGCGUAGCCGACCUGAGAGGGUGAUCGGCCACACUGGAACUGAGACACGGUCCAGACUCCUACGGGAGGCAGCAGUAGGGAAUCUUCCGCAAUGGGCGAAAGCCUGACGGAGCAACGCCGCGUGAGUGAUGAAGGUCUUCGGAUCGUAAAACUCUGUUAUUAGGGAAGAACAGAUCUGUAAGUAACUAUGCACGUCUUGACGGUACCUAAUCAGAAAGCCACGGCUAACUACGUG
rnacentral:rRNA from 1 species